rnacentral:rRNA from 1 species
GAUGAACGCUGGCGGCGUGCUUAACACAUGCAAGUCGAGCGAACAGACGAGGCGCUUGCCUCUCUGACGUUAGCUGCGUACGGGUUGGUAACACGUGGAUAACCUCCCUGUAAACCUGCCAUAUCUUCGGGAAUCCGGAUCUAAUACGAGUGAAUAUAUUGCACCAGAUGGUAGAAUCGCGAGAUACGGUUGUGCUGUCUCUUAUAGUUUGAUCCGCGCCGCAUUAGCUAGUUCGUAAGGUAACGGCUUACCAAGGCAACGAUGCGUAUCCGACCUGAGAGGGUGAUCGGCCAGACUGGAACUGAGACACGGCCCAGACUCCUACGGGAGGCAGCAGUAGGGAAUCUUACGGAAGGGGCGAAAGCGUGACGGAGCAAAGCGGCGUGAGUGAUGAAGGUCUUCGGAUCGUAAAACGCUGUUAUAAGUGAAGAACAAAUGUGUAAGUAACUAUGCACAUAAUGACGGUACCUAAGCAGGAAGCCACGGCUAACUACGUG